rnacentral:lncRNA from 1 species
AGCUCUUUUUCUCCAAUAGACUACACAUCUUUUAUUCUUGUUCUUGAGGCUUUUGAAUCAGGUAUUGAUGAAAUUAUGAUUUUGCCCCUGAAAUGCAAUAAGUCUUUUUCCAAGCCAAGAUCAUUAGUAAUCCCCUCAAAUGCUUUGUAAUCAUCAAAAUUAAUUCAAGGAGCAACAUCAGUAGAUCUGACAUCCAACUGAUUAAAUUAGGUCGGCACAUCAAUAUGUCUAACUAUCCU